UCAACUUUUUUGGAAAGGACAGAAAAAAGUGCAGUGGUCUCUUAAUUAUUUCCAGAGCUGUAUAUAUAUUUUUUUAAGUUUAUUAAAAUGUAUUACAGGUAACAACUUAUAGCACUUUUGGGACUUAAGUUUAUCAACUUAAAAAUGCCAUAUUUUAUUAAAAUGAACAAAAUUGAUGAGGGAAUGAUGAUGAUGUGCAGUGCAAGAAUCAUGUUUAAAAUGUCACCUUGAUCACACCUACAACAUGGGUAUUUGUGCAUGUUCAACACUCACCUUUGUUACAAUUUUCGUCAAGCUGUUUACAAACCAUUUACUGUGUAUGUUAGAUCAAUCUAACACACCACACAGUACAUACUGAAGCUUUACAUCCCAGUGCUGCAAUGCAAAUAUGCAGUAGCGGUGAAUUGGAAUGGAACGUUUUCCUGGUGUGCCAGAGGGCUAUGAUGCAGUAGGUGUGAUCGAGGCAUUGCCAUUUAAUGUCCUGAACAUUAAUUAGUUAUUCAGGUCCAUAUCAGUGAGGAUAGAAUUUGUUAUGUGUACAAAAAAAUGCACAGGACACAAAUGAAAGUUUUGGCAUAAGCUUUUAACAUUUUUAUUGAGUUUUGAUGUUUUCUCUUUAAAUUGGAUUUGUUUGUUUUUCCAGUAAAUUUUGUGUUUUUUUCAUAAUUUUAUUAUUCUUGUUUUAUUUACCUAUCUGUAAAGGAGAAGAGUUGUUCAGUUUAAUUAGCAUUCACUUUCAAACUUUCAUACUUUUUAUAAUAGAACUGUUUUAAGUCUCUUUUUUCACAAACUUUGUUAAAUUAUUACUGUUUAUUCAUCUUUUUUCUUUACAUGUUUCAAAAAUAUAAAAGGUAAAUAAUAAACAUUCCAUUGAAAUAUAUUUUAUACAGUUCUUGAUUCGUUUUUUUUAUUUUCCUGUGUUAUGACAUUAAAAUUGUAUCCAGCAUCUGUCUUUACAGCAUAAACCCCAUUCAGUGUUAUUGUAGUAACCUUCUCUUCCUCCAUCUCUGUCUUCCCUCUCUUCUGCCCCUGAUAGGAAAGUUGCAUGGCAGCACCCAGUGCCUUGUUCGCUGGCGACAAUGUAGUCAUAGCACAACAGUUGAGAGGACGAGUAGAAAUGGUAGCUGCAUUGCCGUUUUUAGUGCAAUGUAACUUUUCAAAUGUAAAAAGGUACAACACAAAUCAGCAGUCAAACCAAUAAAUCGGUCAAAAAAAGGCAGCAGAUGCUAAGAAAAAGGAAUAAAAGAAGAAAAUAAAAACAGAGAACCACAGAUAAAAUGAAUAACAAUGAUGUGCAUCCAAACAGAUACAUGUUAUACUCUUUGAAGUGACAGGCUACAUGAUGCGUCGGUCUAUGGGUGAAGAUGUAUCGAUGUUUAGGACAGGUGCACACGUAACAAUGUAAAAGAAGGGACAGACCGGUGCUAUAAUACUGGCACUGCUGAGAUCUCCCAGAUGUUUUACGUGUAUCAGUGACAAUAUCGGACUCAUGAAACUGAGCCUAGUUCACCUUCCUUUUCCUUUCAAGAGCAAUUCACAUACAUAUAGCCAAUAUAUUCCUACCAAUUCAAUCAAGCCACACAAAACAAAAUAAUGAAACAAAAGAAGGUAAAACAGCUAUAUAGAAAAAUAUUUUUUCUUUUUUUUAAUAGUUAAUUCAUUUUACUUUGCAUAUUCCCCCCGCCCCCCAGUCCUCUCACCACUGGCUGAGAGAGAAAGAGGAAGACAGAGAUUGCUGGCGAAAAGAGAGUUACUUCAUUCUGGCCAUUCACAAAUAAGUUAUAUUUUUUACUUUUUUUUCUCCCACGCAUGCAUUAGAAUUCAACUUCAAACAAUAUGUUAGAAAAACACAAGAACAGGGAUGCAAAAAGAGCUUCUUCCUCAAAAAAUGUGUGGAGGAGGGAAAGAAGGAGAGGGGGCUAGGAGACAGGGGGGAGGGAGGAAGACGGGGGGUAAGAGAGAAUACGUGACAGCGGGGUUUUCUGGCUUUACUCGGCUUCUCUCUUGAUAUGUUUCGUAUUUGGGUUUCAAGUAAAGUUAUGCAAGUGUUGAGCUGUCAUUCCUCUCAAAUGGGCGUGGCUCAAGUUCAGGAGCAGGGUCACACACUACCCCUGACACAUUAUCACUGACAUUGUGGAACCGACAACUGCGGUAGGCCAGUCAUUCACAUGUGGAGGUUGUUCAAUGGUACCAGCUCAGGAUCCACCAGUAGUACAUGAGUUGGUAAAAAUGCUUCUGAAUCAUGAUGGAAACAUGACAAAUUAAUCAAUAGCUGCUUUUCUAAAAAAGAGUUACUACUUCUUACCUGCUGUGUUUUUUUUAAAGGUUAAAAGUUAGGUUUAAAGUUACUUAACAAGUUUAGGGACAUGGCAUGGGACUGGCCCACAAAAUCAAGGGUUUGGAACAAAUUAUUGCUAUGACAAUAGUCCCUCCUCCCCCUCCAAUGUAAUGAAACAUCAAUAUUUCCAUUAUCUGUGCCUAGGCGUUCUACCAGAAGGAUGGUAUGGGGGUGUAUGAUCUGUGCCUAGGUGUUCUACCAGAAGGAUGGUAUGGGGGUGUAUGAUCUCUGCCUAGGUGUUCUACCAGAAGGAUGGUAUGGGGGUGUAUGAUCUGUGCCUAGGUGUUCUACCAGAGGGAUGGUGUGGGGGUGUAUGAUCUGUCCAUAUCUUUCACUGUUUGUGCCAGUUGUGGUCGUCCCCUUUUUUCUUCCCACUGACCUGGCACUCUAUCCUUCUCUAACCUACAGUCAUUUCCAUUGUCAGAAUGAAACGUCUUGCAGCGAGAAAUGCUUCCAUAUGUCUCUCUCAACUGAAACUUUUUGUAAUUUUGGUAACAGACACCGUGCCCCAAUAACACUUUUUAGAAAGCGAGAGGAGUUGAAUGGAAGGAGAGGGGGAUAUGUGAAACGGGGAGUCUGGUAGCAGGAUUCAAACAUAAGAUGAAUGAAGUAGAUCCAGUGAAUACAAUGGAAACUUUGAGUUCAUGUACUUCUCCCAAGUGGCAAACUCCAGGGUCCCCCCAAUCCCAUUUACUUCAGUAAACAAUGCAUCAUGCUAGAUGAAGUAGCUGCCUCUGUUUCCCCCAACCCCUUCUUUGCCCUGUUCUUGCCCUCCCACACACGACAGACCCAAUACACUGAACUCCUUUGGCACGAUGAUAUAUUGAAUUAUAAUCGGAUGCUACAAACUCUUGCAUAGGUAGAUGCUCAGUUCUGAGUACAGUUCACUCAGCAUCUCUGGAACAUCAUCAAAAUCUCUAUCAUUGUGUUACACCAAAUAAACAAACCCACAAACAAACUGUCUGAUUUUGGCAAGUGAACACAAGUGAGCACGUGAUAAAAAAGGUAACACGCAAAUGAAUGUAACCCAAAUGGAAUUUGAAACGGUAAAAAGUGACAUCCAUUGAAAAUCUCUUCUCCCCGCUGGAUUAAUAAUUAACAGCCCUGAGAUGAACCCUGCCCUGCUGGGACACUCUGCUUGAUCAGAAUGUUACCAGUAACUAGGCCAUGGCUCAGAUCGUGGCCCUCUUAUCUGGGGAUAAACCACAUCCUACACAUCACACCGGCACCCCAGGAGAGGCAGAACAAGAGGCUACUGGAGACGAGCUAAACUCUGUCGUAGGCUUAGCUAAGGGUUUGCGGUGACUGGCGUGAAAUGACCUGCACGACAACACACACAGGUUUACCGGGGCAACAUGACACAACGGUUUUCACUUGCCAAAGAAACAUGGAAGGGAAAAAGUGAAAACUGGUUUCUGUUGCUGAGGGUGUGGUAACGACGCUAUAGCAAUGCAUCCAGCCAUACUGCAGGGCAGUCAGUGGUGGUGGAACGUCAACAAGAGCUUCUGUUCAUUUACAGACACCACAACAAUUUAAACAUAUUUUGCACAGAGUGUGGUGUUAAAUUCACAUGUCUUUGAGCAGCCGUUUUCCUGGCAAUGCUGACCCCAUCUGAGAAAAUGGCGCAAAGAUGACUGCUUCUCCAGGGGCUAGGGGCGCCAGCGUGCGUAAAACAUACACGGUCAACUGUCUGCAGAGUUAGUGACCUGGAACUAGUUUCUCUCAGGGAGCGGAGGAAUGUGUUUAAUGCCAAAAUGAUACAUUAUGCACCUCCCUGUAAUAAUGAAGAUAAGACUGCAGGACAUUAUCACACAGAACUAAUGUAUCAGGUCUGAGGGAAGAAAGAGCUGUCUAUGGCCACUAAGUCCAGUGCUACAGGAGCAACCUAGCUAGCUAGGAAAAUAAAUUAAUAUUACCGGGCUACUUGAAGUAAUCAGUGCUGAUUUAUUGUGUGUCCUGGCUGAGUGUGUUCAUGGCUAACAAACUGUCUGCUAGGUAACGCUAUGCUACCUUACUAUUACCUCAUAGGGUCUACACCAGGGCCCCAGUGGUGAAGCAAACAUCUUAAGCACAAGGCUGAAAGAAAAACAAAAGCAUGGUCAUAUCCAUUUGAGCACAGUCCACAUUUCUCAUUGAGCAAGUUCAGGUAUAGUCCGUCCCCGAUCGGUCCCAUUUUCCUUUGUUCAUAUCGUAGUGAAUACCACCCUCUAAUCUAAGAACAGUCCAACUAAACAGAGUUAUGCAGACAGAUGGAACAGUGAAAAGGGGGCCUGAAUGGACAGCAGGGUGGAAGACACAGAGAACUGGCAGCAGGGGGCGCCAUUGGGGCGGUAGGACCAGAGAGUGAGCAGUAGUAGAAGAAAAAGCAGAGCGAGUAGUCAUAGUAGUAUCAGGGGAAGGUCCUCACAGUUCAUCUCUGGAAGAUUUGUGGGGUUUGUUUCUUAAGAAAACAUAGUUCAUUGAAUGUGUAUCUUGCAAUCCUAUAUAUUUUUUUCGUUAUUCCUUUUUUAUUAUCCAAAAACAAAAUAUAGAUCUCCUUUUUUAUAGAAUCCUGCUUUUUUUAUUAGUUGCAUAUAACAUAAAUCUUUUUAGUUUCAUCUUGAUUUUGUUCUUUUUUUUUUAUUCCUAGCCCUCUUUUUUGGUGGGGAGGCGGGGUGGUUAGGGCUUGCAGAAGUAGAGUCAUGCAGAAUAGUCAUGCUGGUAAACAAAGUAAUAAAAAUGCAUUUCCCAAUUUUUCCACUUCUUUUGCCGGAAUAGUUCAUCAAAGUUCACCCUCUUCACGCUCUUUUCCCGCACUUCUUGUGAACCUUUCUAAAACCCCCAGAUCUGAUCUUCCUACUUCCUAUAGAGAGGAGAAAGAUCCUUACAGUAAACUCUCUCAACAAGCAGCAGACCGGUUGUCAAGUUGACCCUUGCUGAUAGUUACCAAUCAGAUCUUUUUGAACAAGGUUGAUUCCUCAUUUGUUUGGUUUGAAGAGUCUCUCUGAUCGCCCUCUUCAUUCUUUAGUUCGGUAGGUUUCGUUCUUCAGGUAUUUUCGUUCAUGCCAUGCAGUUUGCUACGGAGGAGGCGCGAUGCUGAGAUGCAGAAGGGCAGAGGUAAAGAGAGGGAGAGAUGGAGAAAGAGAGGGCGAUGUCCUGUAUGUCCUUGUUUCCCAAGCAGUCGCUUCUGGUCACAGCGUUUGCGUUGCGGUCAUGUUCCAGUGUCUCUCUCCAUUGGUUUCCUCCUCAACUCUUCAGCACACACAAGUAUACUCAGGUUGUAUUUGGGCCUUUGUGGAUGAGUAGGUUCCUCAAGUUCAGACGGCACCCUCUUGCAUGUAACAUCAGUCAUAGUCAGUCAGUCAGUUAUUGUAUUGUCAGACACGCCUUUGUAUGAAAUGGCAAGUGGCAUGGUAUCUUAAAUGAGUCUGGUUGCUCCAUAAGCCACUGUAAUUCACCACCUUCGGAAAGUGCGUCUCUUGUGGAAGUUAAGAAAAGAGUUGUCAAUCAAAGGUGUGACUGACUGAACGUAGGUAUUGCCACCUCAGUGAACUGACUCGAGUCAGUGGACUGACACAGUGGUCGUUCAAACUCAAAGCUUUGCAUAGUUUGGCCGCCUAACAGAUAGAAAUGCUUGUGUGUCAAUUUAGCCAUUGGCAAGCACCUGGCUCUUAUUUUCAGGAGUCCCACCCACGCUGACAAUGCUGUGUAAUCUCAGAAUGCAGCUGCAGCUAGUUUGUAUAGCCUACCCCAUAUAGCCAAACUUCGGCAUAGUACUGUACUUCAAGAGCAUAUAUUAUCUUAAUGGUAUAUUGGGACGACAACCAAGUUGUGGAACGUUGUUCUACUGUCCCAUGUUCCUUUUGUUCUGUUUUAGGGAACUUUUGUGAUAUUGUUUGAUUGAUUUGGAAUUUCUUUAGCAAUGACUUAGCAUAUUACGACUGAAGUACAGUGAUAUAAGGUGUGAAUAGGGUGACAUAAGGAAUGGGUUUCAGUGUGUUUUUUUUCUCCAGGUAGUCAGAGUCAGGUUUCAUAGGGAGGGUGCAGAUUGAGCAGUCCACAGGAACAAGAGAUCAACUAAUCUCUUCCAGUCAGUUUUUCAUCCAUCCUCCUCUCAUCGUCCUUUCAGAUCUCUCUCUCUUUCUCUCUCCAACUACGUCUCCCUUCAGCCUACAGUAAAUCCAGUAGGGGGCGCUGGGUGAAUUGUGUCCUAAGGGUUGUCCCUCUUCUUGGAGAGAAAGGGUGAUUUUAGAAACUCAACACUGGAACAAAGAGAGAACAGAAACAGGGACUGUUGUCAGUGCACAUUCCAGCAGACCUAGAACAUCAACGGGCUAACCAGAUUAGAUGUUUAAAAACAUAUUGAAACAGGGUUUUUAGUUGACAUUAAUAGCAUAACAUGCUUGAAUGGGAUAUUUAAUUCAUUAUAUAUUCUCAGUAGUCAAUGGUAAAAAAAGAUAUUGUUUAUAUGACUGGAUGAGUACAACUCUUCAAAUACAAGAGCUAACUGAUCUAUAGACGACAAGAGCAAACAAAAGACCUGCUUUUGGCAAAGCACAUCUGGCAUGCAUGUACACAAAAUAGGAAAUGGCAGGAAAGCAUGUACACCUUGUACGCACACACACAAUCGCAUACACACAUACACACAGUACGCAGACACACCAACAAAAAUGCCGUGGGUGGUUUCAGUCCUUGAGGGCUGUUAAGUCCUCUGGCGUUUGUCCACCUCUUAAUUCAUCAGUUAGUCAUAGUCGAAUAGUGAGCCAUUUGAGCAAAAAUCAUUCCCACACAGGACCACAGCCCACCAGGACUGUUAGCAAAGCUAAACAGACCGAGUGCUAUAAGAACUUCAGUCAGUGUAUGCAUCCUAAAGCCUACAAAAGCACAGAAGCGACAUGGAGGAAAUAAUGAAACACUAAACAGAGCGAAGCACGGAAACACAAGACACGUGCUACACAAAGACUGUUACUACACACACAGACACACACCGCUAGAACACAGCACAAAGAGCACAGCACAGAACACAGCACACAGAGCACAGCGCAGAACACAGCACACAGAACACAGCGCAGAACACAGCACACAGAACACAUUCUUACACUGAGAAGCGACCAGCUUUGUUCCUCCUCUCAUUUAGUUUUUGUUCUUUCUUCCCCAAACUGUCCUCCAUUUCAUGGUUCUUCCUUUGUUGACAAACCUUCUUUUAAAAAAAUGUAUAUACAGUUCCUAUCCCCCCCCUCCCCUCCCCUGCAUGAAAAAAACAAUAUCUGCAACACCUGACAGUCUUUCUGUCCACUUCUAUGCUCUGGAGUCGUUUGCAAUCCACUUUAGGGAAGAUGGAGUUCACGUUAUGGUGGUGGUCAUUUAAUUUCUCCCCCAAAGUCUGUUAUUUUUGGUUUUUGUAAUGGACGCAGUAGAGAUGGCACAUCUCAAAAUAGAAAAGAAGCAACAAUUGGAGAAGGGCGAGAUGGGGUAAAACAAGGGAUGAGGACACAGAACACACAAUAUUUACAGGUAUGCACAAACUGCAGAGGAAGCAGAACAUUUCAAACCUUCUCUCUGUCCGGCUCUGUUAGACAAAAAUGUCUGGAAGCACUGAUUUCAACCAACAUAGAGAGAGAGAGAUAUAUAUAUACCUGAGUUGUGAAUGAAGCCUGAAGUAACAGGUAAAAAUGAAGAAGAGGGAAGAGUGGGAGGUGUAGUCAAGAACAGUGUGUCUAUGAUAUUACAUUAACUUGUACAUCAAUUGGCUAGGCUACAAACAUCCUAAAUUGUAUCAUCUUAAAAUCAAUCUUGCUAGUUUGGACCUACUUUUUGAAGCAUCUUUGGAACAAGUUUUUAUUUUUUACAGGUAACUACAUAUGCAUUAAAGCAAUGAUCCAAUGAUAGCAUGAUAACAUGAAAACAUGAAACAUGACAAAUGAUAGCAUGAUAACAUGAAAACAUGAACAUCAUCCACCAGCGACACCCUUAACUUCUCCACCACCAAUGACCCACAUAACAGAAUCAGAAUUCACUCAACUGAUCUGUUGACCUUUUGCUGUGUUUAAAGACAACCCUUUCCUGUCCCAACAUGGGGGAAUCAAUAGGGAAACACACAUUCUGGACUAUUUCAUGGGAGAACACUCAUUAUUGACUAUUUCCAUUCUUAUUAUAAGGACAGUGUCCAAAGUGGCCUGGGCAGUAGGGGGCCAUUUCAAAACCUAGACAUUUCAGAUGCAUCCUAAGGCUGAAAAGGUAAAUGAUGCACAUAUACGCAGCAGAAGGAGUCAGGUGUUUCCACAGCCUAGUGGUGGUCACUUUUGAACUCUAGAGAAAGUACAGUCCAUCCUUAGAGUGUUAAAGACAGAUGAGAUUUAUUUUGCUAUCUGCCAUCAUGACUCUGUCAUAAAUCUGUAAUGCGGGGGAAGAGGUUUAUUUCAAUGUGACUCUGUUUUCUUACUCCUCGUGGUCACUGAUUACCGCUACACCCCACUGUAGAUGUCCUAUAGAUGAUUUCUGGAGGGAACAAAACGGCAUACGUUGUGAGGGUUUCCCCUCCACUUAGGGCAGCAUGUUUGGGUCACUUGUAAGCUACUCAAAAGUAACUUAUGUUCCUUUAAGAAGUUAAAGCCCUGUCAUUUCAAGUGGAAGAGGGACAAUACAGGACAGGACAGAAUGGAAAAACAGAAAGGUUCAACAGAGGUUUAUGGAGUGUGUAGAAAAGUGGGUAAGAUUGGGGCUGGCUUUGGCCGAUGUGGUUGUCAAAGGCAGAAAUUGAGUUAUGGGCACUCAUGUUCCUGCCAUUGUGAAAAAAGAGACGAAGUAGAUUGUUCUUUUUCCCCAUCUAGUAUUAAUUCACAGUUACUGCUUCUUUUUGCAUAUAUCUGAUGAGCACAGGGCUCUCAGAAUAGUUCUCUGUGAAAAGAUAACAAAAAAGUAAAUGGUAAGGUAAAUAUUAUUACCAGUUAGUCUAGUUAGGUCUAUAAGAAAUAACAGCUACAAGAGACCACUACUUACCCCUUCCCUACAAUUGUAAAAAAUGGAUUUCCCAAACACCCCCCCCAACCCUGCUAGAGUAACAAUGGUCUCUUCCAUCUUUUUGCAUCAUAGCAUGCAUAUAUAAGCCCCACUCUUCUGAUAGAAAACAGUAGAGGUAAGUGCUCUUUCCCCUAAUAGCAUGCUGGUCAUCUAUAUGGAUGUGCGUAGAACACAUUCAUAUACACUUUUUAUAUACUAUAACUAUGUACACAUUCAUUAAGCUUACGAUCAAAUCUCAUGUCUUAUCAAAUCACGUUUCCUGACUAAAGAUACAGACACAUCGAUUCCUUAUUGCUUGCAAUGGAAAGCCCAUGCAGAUUGAAAUAGGUCAAAACUUUACAACUGUACAGAAUAUUUUGGACCAAUAACUGGCCUAAGAAGAAUUCUUAAAGAAAUUAAAAACAGACACCCAAAGCACUAGAUCAAGGGAAAGGAUUCUGGAGAGAUCAAGGAAGGAUGAGAGAACAUGAGAGUCAUUUGGUAGUUUGUGUUUGGGCAACAGUGUCAUAUACAAAGAUAAAGACACUAUGGGUACAAACAACUCUGGGGGCUGAGUACCAGUGUGGGCGUGGCGGGGUGAAUUCCAUUUAUAUUCUAUCAAUUCUGAAGGUGAAUAUAACAUUCAAAUCCUAAUAUUCUGUAAAAUGGUGGUAUUCAUUUGUGCCUCAAACGAAUAUUCUGCUUCACGGGCAUUAACAACAUAUUCUAGUCUGAAGUCAUUCAGGUGACAUCGAAAUGAGGGGAGUGCAAAACAGUUAUCAGCAACUGGAUGAUCUCUGACCAAUCAGAGCUCUACAGAAGCCGUUUUGACAUUUAGUUUUUCUCAUGUUCACUCUUUUCUCAUGGCUCUGGUCCAGCCCAUCCAUUUCUUGGACCUAUCAGAGGGAACCCAUCAGUUUCUAGGACCAAUCAGAAUGUUUUAGAUAAUUUAGACAAUAUAUCCAUCUCCUGGAGAUUCCAGACUCCUUGCAGAGAAGAAACAAAUGGCAGUAGCACAACAUUUGGCCAGAGCAAGGAGUCUGGGUUGCCAGGAAAAGCUCUAAAUUCAUGGACUGAGAUUCACUGCAGUCAGAACAGCCUCCACCCUAACCCUUUAGGUUCUCCCUCCCUGACAGUGCUGCAGUCAGAACAGCCUCCACCCUAACCCUUUAGGUUCUCCCUCCCUGACAGUGCUGCAGUCAGAACAGCCUCCACCCUAACCCUUUAGGUUCUCCCUCCCUGACAGUGCUGCAGUCAGAACAGCCUCCACCCUAACCCUUUAGGUUCUCCCUCCCUGACAGUGCUGCAGUCAGAACAGCCUCCACCCUAACCCUUUAGGUUCUCCCUCCCUGACAGUGCUGCAGUCAGAACAGCCUCCACCCUAACCCUUUAGGUUCUCCCUCCCUGACAGUGCUGCCUCAUUUUUAAAACACUUAACCCACAAAGGCUUCUUCUAUUCUACCCUGCUACUACUGACAUAUCAUACUCUGAUCUAAUACGCGUCACAUCUCUUCACAAUGUCAGGCUGUCCUGUGGAGGACACAGUUCUUAACCUAACCAGUCCUGAGCUUUGAUUUAUGUUAAGCUUUUGUCUCAUUGUCUUUCUCUUUUUGUGUUGCCAAGAUAGAUGACUGUGGGUACCCUAUAGUCUUUUUGUAGCUGAAUACUAACUGAGGUGCGCACAAAGGCUACUUCUAUAUGAUGCUAAUGCGAACACUAGAUAUAGAUAAUGCCCGUUCUAAGACUUUGCUACUUCUGUCUGUACACAACUCUCUGUUUCUAGUGAGAGAGGAAAGGGUGGACAAGUGAAAGAUGAUGAGGGGAAGCCAUGGGAGGAUAAAAAAUCAAUAAAUCACAUCAAUUCAACCUGACAGAUUUCAAGCAACAACUGGAAUCGACCAGUGAGAGACACAAGCAUUACCUUAAAAAUGGCAACAUUCGAUGCCAAUAAGUAUCAACAAUAAAAUCGACAUCUGAUAAAAGGAGAUAACAUUGUAAAAUACAAAAAUAAACAAUUCUGUAAAUGAACCGCUUAAAUAAAAAUAUACAAUCAUGAGUGACAAUAACAAAACAUCGACAGUGGGUAUAUAAACAUAGAAUGGUCAUAGCAUUGACAUUCAUACCCAUUUCCUUUUCAUCAAACUAUUUCAAAAGAAAAUUGAGAUUUGAAAAAGUUAGUCUCUUUCUGAUCUCUGAUAUGGAAGGAAAACAUGUAUCCUCCUUUUUUUUCUCCAGAAAACAGUGAGAAAGUAAGGAAAGAUCUGUCGUUUGGAUGAAUUGGCACUCUUGCAUCUUGGGCUGGAGGUAGAUGCAUGUCUGUGCACACAAAACCAUAUGUGUGCCACAGAUACACAGCACACAGCACAUCUCCAUAAGAUUAACUAUACAUAGAUACAAAUAUAUUUCUAUACAUUGCAUAUUUCUAUAUAUGUAUGUUGCCUUUUUUGUUCAUUUUGUCAUUGGUUUGUUGGGUUCUUCUACCAAGCGCUGUCAGUCCAUCCUCCAUUCACAGUGCCCUCUUUUAACAUGAGGACCGAUGACGGUUCAGCAGCCAGGGCAGGUAGGUGGUGG
ensembl:lncRNA